rnacentral:rRNA from 1 species
AGUGAACGCUGGCGGUAGGCCUAACACAUGCAAGUCGAACGGCAGCACAGUAAGAGCUUGCUCUUACGGGUGGCGAGUGGCGGACGGGUGAGGAAUACAUCGGAAUCUACUUUUUCGUGGGGGAUAACGUAGGGAAACUUACGCUAAUACCGCAUACGACCUACGGGGGAAAGCAGGGGAUCUUCGGACCUUGCGCGAUUGAAUGAGCCGAUGUCGGAUUAGCUAGUUGGCGGGGUAAAGGCCCACCAAGGCGACGAUCCGUAGCUGGUCUGAGAGGAUGGUCAGCCACACUAGAACUGAGACACGGUCCAGAGUCCUAAGGGAGGCAGCAGUGGGGAAUAGUGGACAAUGGGCGCAAGCCUGAUCCAGCCAUACCGAGUGGGUGAAGAGGGCCUUCGGGUUGUAAAGCCCUUUUGUUGGGAAAGAAAAGCAGCAGGUUAAUACCCCGCUGUUCUGACGGUACCCAAAGAAUAAGCACCGGCUAACUUCGUG